AUUGAACGCUGGCGGCAGGCUUAACACAUGCAAGUCGAACGAGUGGCGGACGGGUGAGUAAUGCUUGGGAAUCUGGCUUAUGGAGGGGGAUAACGACGGGAAACUGUCGCUAAUACCGCGUACCAUAGGAUGAGCCCACGUGGGAUUAGGUAGUUGGUGGGGUAAAGGCCUACCAAGCUGACGAUCGCUAGCUGGUCUGCGAGGAUGACCAGCGACACCGGGAAUGUGAGACGGCCCGGACUCCGACGGGAGGCAGCAGUGGGGAAAAUGGCGCAAUGGGGGCAACCCUGACGCAGCCAUGCCGCGUGAAUGAAGAAGGCCUUCGGGUUGUAAAGGACUUUUGUUAGGGAAGCGGUACCUAAAGAAUAAGCGCCGGCUAACUACGUGCCAGCAGCCGCGGUAAUUC
rnacentral:rRNA from 1 species